UACGAGGGGGGCGAGCGUUGUUCGGAAUUAUUGGGCGUAAAGGGCGCGUAGGCGGUUGGGUAAGUCUUGUGUGAAAUCUUCGGGCUCAACUCGGAGUCUGCACGAGAAACUAUCUGGCUUGAGUGUGGGAGAGGGGAGUGGAAUUCCUGGUGUAGCGGUGAAAUGCGCAGAUAUCAGGAGGAACACCGAUGGCGAAGGCAGGUCUCUGGGCAUUAACUGACGCUGAGGAGCGAAAGCAUGGGGAGCGAACAGG
rnacentral:rRNA from 1 species